GAUGAAGAACGUAGCGAAAUGCGAUAAGUAGUGUGAAUUGCAGAAUUCAGUGAAUCAUCGAAUCUUUGAACGCACCUUGCGCCCUUUGGUAUUCCGAAGGGUAUGCUCGUUUGAGUGUCAUUGUACUCUCACACUUCUAAUUCCUUUCGGGAUUGGGAGCGGUGGACUUGGGUGUUGCUGCUUUAGUUGUGGCUCACCUCAAAUAAGUUAGUGCAACUCUUGGUUGGACAUAGUACGGCGUGAUAAGUGUCUUCGCCGGCGCCUCUGUAAGGAGGGUGGCCGAUCGGGAGCUCUGUGCUUCAAACCGUCUUCGGACAAUCUUUGACAACUUGACCUCAAAUCGAGUAGGACCACCCGCUGAACUUAAGCAUAUCAAUAAGCGGAGGA
rnacentral:misc_RNA from 1 species